rnacentral:rRNA from 1 species
UACAGGGGGGUGCAAACGUUGCUCGGAAUCAUUGGGCGUAAAGCGCACGUAGGCGGUUCGUUAUGUCGGAUGUGAAAGCCCUUGGCUUAACCGAGGAAGUGCAUCCGAAACUGGCGAGCUAGAGUACUAAAGAGGAUCGCGGAAUUCCCGGUGUAGAGGUGAAAUUCGUAGAUAUCGGGAGGAACACCGGUGGCGAAGGCGGCGACCUGGGUAGAUACUGACGCUGAGGUGCGAAAGCGUGGGGAGCAAACAGG